rnacentral:rRNA from 1 species
GUCUCAGUUCAGAUUGCAGGCUGCAACUCGCCUGCAUGAAGUCGGAAUUGCUAGUAAUCGUAGGUCAGCAUACUACGGUGAAUACGUUCCCGGGCCUUGUACACACCGCCCGUCAAACCAUGAGAGUUGGCAACACCCGAAGUCGGUAGUCUAACCGCAAGGAGGACGCCGCCGAAGGUGGGGUCGAUGAUUAGGGUUAAGUCGUAACAAGGUACC